UGUUUUGUAGUUUAAUAGAAUAGAAAAUUGCAAAUUUUCAGGUGAAUUAUUUCCAAAGCUU
rnacentral:tRNA from 1 species